GAUGAACGCUAGCGGCAGGCCUAACACAUGCAAGUCGAGGGGCAGCGGGAAAGUAGCUUGCUACUUUUGCCGGCGACCGGCGCACGGGUGCGUAACGCGUAUGUAACCUACCUUAAACAGGGGCAUAACACUGAGAAAUUGGUACUAAUUCCCCAUAACACUUUAGGAGGCAUCUUCUGAAGUUGAAAGUUCCGGCGGUUUAAGAUGGACAUGCGUUGUAUUAGUUAGUUGGUGAGGUAACGGCUCACCAAGACGACGAUACAUAGGGGGACUGAGAGGUUAACCCCCCACAUUGGUACUGAGACACGGACCAAACUCC
rnacentral:rRNA from 1 species